rnacentral:rRNA from 2 species
UUUAACAUGAGAGUUUGAUCCUGGCUCAGGAUGAACGCUGGCGGCGUGCUUAACACAUGCAAGUCGAACGAAGCAAUCUAACGGAAGUUUUCGGAUGGAAGUUAGAUUGACUGAGUGGCGGACGGGUGAGUAACGCGUGGGUAACCUGCCUCACACUGGGGGACAACAGUUAGAAAUGACUGCUAAUACCGCAUAAGCGCACAGGACCGCAUGGUCUAGUGUGAAAAACUCCGGUGGUGUGAGAUGGACCCGCGUUUGAUUAGCUAGUUGGUGGGGUAACGGCCUACCAAGGCGACGAUCAAUAGCCGACCUGAGAGGGUGACCGGCCACAUUGGGACUGAGACACGGCCCAAACUCCUACGGGAGGCAGCAGUGGGGAAUAUUGCACAAUGGGGGAAACCCUG